CAGAGCUAAAUUGGUAUUUUCCCGUUUGCUGCGGCAAAUUUUUAUUAAAGUGUACCCUAUAUUUAUGAUUAUUAAACUUUAGUGUUCGCCAGAAUCGCCUGCAGGCCUCCUUAAAACAAGAUGUCUAAGUCCCCACCCCCACCUCCCCCCCCCCCCCGGAUUUCUGAUUCACUAGGUCUGGAGUGGAGCACAAUACAUUUGCAUUUCUAGCAAGUUCCCAGGUGAUGCUGGUAGAGCACACGCCCAGAACCACCGCCAGGUACACAAGUCACUGGACAAGGUGGGAAGGCAUCUUACUCAAUCAAUGGACCUUAUUCUAAAGCGGGAAGGGCACUGAGAGGAGGGUAUCUCUCAAAUGAGGAGUCUACGACCUGCUUCAGGGGAAGGCCAACAACUUCUUGGAUUUUAUGACCUGCUUCAGGGGAGAAGGACAAGGGAAGUACAGCGCCUACAACAAUGCAAAGGCUAGAAGGAAUGAAGGCAGGGACAUGGAAUGGAGAAUUUCCAUUUCACGGAUCCACAUAAACUGAAAAGGAACAAGAGUCGGUGAGACCAAAGAGCACUGAAGGCCAUGAACCACCACCAUUCUCAACCCCUGGGCCAGGCAAGAAAAGCCACGGUUCCUGGAAGGGAUGACGACAGGCCUUUCCUCUCAUUAAACCUUUUGUACUCCUAACUCCAUCUUACCAUCUGUUUUAUGGAGGACCUAACAGACACAGUGACCAAAGCUACAGGGGCCUCCAGAGGAAACGGUGAGAACCACAGGAGAAAGGGGGUCUUUGCUGCUGACGGCGAGCACCCAAGCCCAAGCUCCCAGUGGUGAUCUCUCACAAGACCACACAGCCGAUUUCCCUGGAGACAGCACAACCUGUUAAGGGCAUCUUCCAUGCCAUUAAGGGCUUACUGAAUUAUUUUCAUCCAUGCCCUUUUAAAAUAUGGUUGGUAGAAAUUUGCCAUUUGAGACUAGAAUCCCAUUCGGAAUCAUGUAAGUCUCUUUUGACUCCACGAGGACAUCUUUCACCCAGUUUUGGGAAAUCUGAGGAAUGGAUUCUUCUACAGACUGAUAAAAUAUCACAAGGUCCAAGAGUUUGUGUGAGAAAGAGGACAUCAAGGUAAAAUUUUUUAAGUGGAUAAAGAUGGAGAAGUAGAAGGAUGUUAUUCAAAAGUGUAGUUUAUGAUUAAGGUUGGUCGUGACAUCAGAAGCCUUUAAUAUCAGGCCCACCCAUCCGGAUUCAUUAAGCAGAUUGUGUCUUAUCUUGCAUUUCUGUUUCCUGAGACUUAAUCAUGGUUUCCUCAGUGAGUAUCAUCCGCUGCCUAAACUUCAUAAGAGGAUGUUUUCUUUUUUGGAAGCUACUACUCAUGGGCUGAAACUGACUUUCAAACCUACAACUUUAAACUAUGUAAUACUUGAUAUGAGCAACUCAUCCCACUCCUUUCAGAUUAUUCCCUAGGAUCAUUUAUUAUGUGCCUACUGCAUGCAAGGCACAGUGGGAAUACAGAUACAAAGAUAAAUAAGAUUGUCUCUGCCCUGAAGAAAACUAUAAUUUCUGUGUGUAGAAAGACACACAACUGACUUUUCUAUCACAGACCAUCCAAGUUCUGACAUAGAGUCACUAGAGGUUUCUGAACAUGAUGGAUGUGAACGUGGUAGACAUACAAUGGAAGGCAAGAAGGUAUCUCAACACAGCAGAACAAGACCCCAUGAGGAGCCCAGAAAAAAAAUAAAGAAGGUUCCUCACUGGUUAGGAAUUCAAAAGCAGUCCUGGCAACCUCAUAGCAUCUUUACCUCAGAAGCAGGCAGCUCUGGUUACUCCACCAUUUUCAGGAACAAGGUUUUUCUCUCCCCCUCUGCUGCAUUUCCUCUGCGGCUCCUGAUCCAUCUGCCUCUACCUUCUUCCUAGCAUCAAAUUUCCUCCCAGGAGACAACAUGAAUGGGUUAAGAAGUACCCAAUGAGGGCUGCUCCAACUGGACAGCAUCUUUGAAACUGGGACCUCACAGAUGGUCAUCACAGGCCCCUGAUGCCUGGGUACCCAGCGACCAACCCCAGUCUAGUCUGUCUAUAGCAACAUAGGUGAAGGGGAGUCUCAGGGGCUGCCUAAAGGGCUCAGAAUGUGGUGAGUACUUAAGACUGCAUGGAUUUUCACUGUUUACAUGAAUAUAGGACAAGUAUUCACAGAACUAUUAGCUAGAUCUGUGAACAAAACAUUAAUAACAUUGUAUGUCCAUGUCUGAACCCCUGAAAUUCCAACAACCACCACCCGCCUACCAACUUGCAGCAAACCGGCUCUCUCCACAGUCUUCCCCAGAUCAGGGAGAAACAAUUCCAUCCUUCCAGUACUCAGACUGUAAAACUGGAUUCAUUCUGAUUCCUCUCUCACACAUCCCACACCUGAUCUGACAGGAAAUCCUAUAAACUCUGCCAUUAAAAUAUAUCCAGAAACAGGCCAGGCACAAUGGCUCAUGCCUCUAAUCCCAGCACUUUGGGAGGUCGAGGCGGGCGGAUCAUGAGGUCAGGAGUUCGAGACCAGCUUGGCCUACAUGGCAAAACCCUGUCUCUACUAAAAAUACAAAAAUUAGCUAGGUGUGGUGAUGCACACCUGUAAUCCCAGCUACUUGGGAGGCUGAGCUAGGAGAAUCACUUGAACCCGGGAGGCACAGGCUGCAGUAAGCCAAGAUCGUGCCACUGCACUCCAGCCUGGGCGACAGAGUAAGACUCUGUCUCAAAAAAAAAAAAUAUAUAUAUAUAUAUAUAUAUGUCCAGUAAUGUGCAACUUUCACAGUCUCCACCAGGAUCAUCACAGUCUAACCACUGCUUCCUCCAGCCUGAACUUACUGCAAGAGGCCACUCACUGGUCUCCAGGCAUCCACUCUUGCUUCCCCCACGCACCCCACCACCAGUGUCUAUUCUCAACAGAGCAGCCAAAAUUGUCCUUUUAAACAUUGGUUGGAUUGUGUCUUCUGUCUGUUCAAAACUCUCCAGUAUGUCCACAUGGAUCUCAAAAUAAAACCAAAGUUCUGGCCAGGCACAGUGGUUCGUGUCUGUAAUCCCAGCACUUUGGGAGGCUGAGAAGGGAGGGUGGCUGGAGCCCAGGAAUUCAAGACCAGCCUGGGCAACAUGGCAAAACCCCAUCUCUCCAAAAAAUACAGAAAUUUGCUAGGCGAGGUGAUGUGUGUUUGUAGUCCCACCUACUCAGGAGGCUGAGGUGGAAGGAUCACUUGAACCCAGGAGGUUGAGGCUGCAAUGAGCUGUGAUCACGUCACUGCACUCCAGCCUGGGUGACAGAAUGAGACUCUGCCAAAAAAAAAAAUUCAAAGUUCUUACCACAGCCUACAAGACCUGCCAUGACCUGGUCCUUCCUACCACCUGUCUCAUCUUUGCACUCUCACUCACUCUGUACCAACCACACUGGCCUCCUGGAUGUUUCUGGAACAUACCAAACAUGCUCUAAUCACCAGUCUUUGCACUGGAUUUUUCUUCAUUCUGGGAUGUUCUUCCCUUGGAACUCCACAGGGCUAACCCCCACAGUUCCUGCACAUCUAUCAAUGAUGUUUAACAAACCACCCCACUUCGCCUCUGCAGUAUUCCCAAUCGCCACACCUGCCCUGUGUGGUAUUUUAUCACAUACCAUGUAAUUAACUUAUUUGCUAUCUUUAGGAAAAGGGUUUUUUUUUAAAUUUUUUGUUUGCAUGUUUUGUUUUCUUUUUGCUUUUGGUAUCUCUUCCCCUGGUAGAAUGAAAGCUCCGUGAGAAAACCUAGACGAAUCUCUGAAACUUAAUGCUCAAUAAAUGUUUGUUGGUGAAUGCCUGAUUUACAGGACAGCUGAAGCAGUUUAUUAAUUUAGAAGAGCUUAUUAAUUUAGAAGUUAUCAACUAUUGUAAAACUUCCACUGCAGUUUGAAGUUUGAUGUGAUGGGUUGAAAAAAACCACAAUUAGCAAAGUGCACUCUCCUUUUUUUCUAUUUAUCUUCUAAUCACCAGUCUGCUCUGAUGCUGAUUGACACACAGAUACUGAUGUGUUGUUUCCCAUAAAUUCACAAGCCAGUGAGUCAGUCCUUCAGGUAAUAAACAGAUGGCUGUCGGCCAGGUGAGAUGAAAAGGCAUGGUUGCCAUCCUCGAGGAAUUUACGUGUAGCAUGCGUGAUUUAUUGCACUAAGGUAUAAAUAUAAGGUAUAAGAAAUAUCUUACUGGUUUGUUGUGGUGGUUUCUUGUGAUUUUUUCUGUCUCUAAAUAAAAUUAAAUCUGCUCCAUUCCCUCUGAACCAAGCUUAGGCUGAGAUUCUCUGCUGUGGGUCCC
rnacentral:lncRNA from 1 species